rnacentral:rRNA from 1 species
UACGUAGGGGGCAAGCGUUGUCCGGAAUCAUUGGGCGUAAAGAGCGUGUAGGCGGUCCGGUAAGUCGGUUGUGAAAGUCCAGGGCUCAACCCUGGGAUGCCGAUCGAUACUGUCGGACUAGAGUUCGGAAGAGGCGAGUGGAAUUCCCGGUGUAGCGGUGAAAUGCGCAGAUAUCGGGAGGAACACCAAUGGCGGAGGCAGCUCGCUGGGACGUUACUGACGCUGAGACGCGAAAGCGUGGGGAGCAAACGGG